AAACUUUCAACAACGGAUCUCUUGGUUCUGGCAUCGAUGAAGAACGCAGCGAAAUGCGAUACGUAGUGUGAAUUGCAGAAUUCAGUGAAUCAUCGAAUCUUUGAACGCACAUUGCGCCCUUUGGUAUUCCAAAGGGCAUGCCUGUUCGAGCGUCAUUUG
rnacentral:rRNA from 1 species